UGAAGUACCUUGUAAACAUUAACAAGUCCUCACAAAAUGAGCUCUUGUGAUUAUCUCCAUUUUGCAGCUGGCAAGGUGGAGGCAGAGGUGAAGUUGUUCUCGGUGCUAAUAGCAGCAAAUCAUCACCUGGAGAGGCCGAAGACAAUCACCCCAGUGUAAAUUUGGAAUUUAUGAGGUUAUUAUUGCUCCGAGAGAUGCCUUGGAAGGUAUUAUUGAUUAAAGAUAAUUUAACCAAUCAAUGUUAUUAUAAACAGUCUUUCACUCAGCUGGUUGACUCCUGCAGCUAUUCAUGAUGAAAUUCUGCUUUCAUUUACAAUGGCAACAAAUAGAUUCCAUUGGUAAGAAUGAAAAUAAUUCAUUUCCCUAGACAAAGGACAAUCAGAUCAUCAGAUCAUUAUUCGGUUUAUGAACAUGUAGACAGUUUAAUAUGUUGAUUUAAGUAAUGCAAUCACCUGUGUGCUUUGCAACACUGAUUUACAGCACAUACAGUCAUUUAGCCAUUUUCAGUGCAGGUGGAUGUACAAGGGUAGUUGUGAGGAAGUAGGGCUGUUAAAUAAAGAUGGAUAAAUAUAAAUAAAAU